rnacentral:rRNA from 1 species
CAGCAGCCGCGGGAAUACGUAGGUGGCAAGCGUCGUCCGGAAUUAUUGGGCGUAAAGGGCUCGCAGGCGGUUUCUUAAGUCUGAUGUGAAAGCCCCCGGCUCAACCGGGGAGGGUCAUUGGAAACUGGGAAACUUGAGUGCAGAAGAGGAGAGUGGAAUUCCACGUGUAGCGGUGAAAUGCGUAGAGACGUGGAGGAACACCAGUGGCGAAGGCGACUCUCUGGUCUGUAACUGACGCUGAGGAGCGAAAGCGUGGGGAGCGAACAGGAUUAGAUACCCCAGUAGUCCUUGUCUCUUAUAA